UAAAGUUUGCAGGGGGACCCAAGCAAAAAGCUGGGUUGAGAAGGUAAAACCUGACCCUUUGAACCUGUUGGUCAAGACCAGUGUAGGAAGCAAGUUUUGUGUAAAU
rnacentral:ncRNA from 2 species